rnacentral:rRNA from 1 species
AUUGAACGCUGGCGGCAUGCCUUACACAUGCAAGUCGAACGGCAGCACGGGGGCAACCCUGGUGGCGAGUGGCGAACGGGUGAGUAAUACAUCGGAACGUGUCCUGUCGUGGGGGAUAACCAGUCGAAAGAUUGGCUAAUACCGCAUGAGAUCGAGAGAUGAAAGCGGGGGACCGCAAGGCCUCGCGCGAUAGGAGUGGCCGAUGUCGGAUUAGCUAGUUGGUGGGGUAAAGGCCCACCAAGGCGACGAUCCGUAGCUGGUUUGAGAGAACGACCAGCCACACUGGGACUGAGACACGGCCCAGACUCCUACGGGUGGCAG